rnacentral:rRNA from 1 species
AGUGAACGCUGGCGGUAGGCCUAACACAUGCAAGUCGAACGGCAGCACAGGAGAGCUUGCUCUCUGGGUGGCGAGUGGCGGACGGGUGAGGAAUACAUCGGAAUCUGCCCAGUCGUGGGGGAUAACGUAGGGAAACUUACGCUAAUACCGCAUACGACCUUCGGGUGAAAGAGGGGGAUCGCAAGACCUCUCGCGAUUGGAUGAGCCGAUGUCGGAUUAGCUAGUUGGCGGGGUAAUGGCCCACCAAGGCGACGAUCCGUAGCUGGUCUGAGAGGAUGAUCAGCCACACUGGAACUGAGACACGGUCCAGACUCCUACGGGAGGCAGCAGUGGGGAAUAUUGGACAAUGGGCGCAAGCCUGAUCCAGCCAUACCGCGUGGGUGAAGAAGGCCUUCGGGUUGUAAAGCCCUUUUGUUGGGAAAGAAAACUUUCAGGAUAAUACCCUGGGAGGAUGACGGUACCCAAAGAAUAAGCACCGGCUAACUUCGUG